CAUGCCUGGAAAUUUGUUGCUCUGCGUGCCAAGCCUUUCGCAAUGGCAGGUAUAAGUUGUGAUGCUUCUUUAUAUCCAGGAGGACAAAUUCAUACUCCUAGGGCAGCUUUCCCAUCUCCAGAGAUACAGCAGGCUACUGAAGCAAGUGUGAAGAG
rnacentral:lncRNA from 1 species